rnacentral:rRNA from 1 species
AUGGAGCUUCUUCAGCAACUAGGUUUCUCGCCUCGCUGUAUAGACUUGGUAGCACUCCUCCUGUCUACUUCCUCCUCGUCAUGCGUGUUGAAUGGUGACCCAGGAGAGAGUUUCUUGCACCAGCGAGGUCUGCGGCAAGGUGACCCACUCUCGCCUCUGCUCUUCAUCCUCUGCAUCGACUCCCUCCAUCGGCUAUUAGAGGCUGCUACCAGGUCAGGUGCACUGAGCAUGAUU